rnacentral:piRNA from 1 species
UGCCAUUUUGCCAAUCUCCUUAAGUGUC